rnacentral:lncRNA from 10 species
CAGCUGCUGGGUAGAGACAACAUGACAUGAAAAGAAUAGCUCCUUCCUGACUUACUCUCUCUUGGAUCAAUUACUGUGAUGGAAACCAGCUGCCAUGUCAGGAGUACACUCAGCUGGCCUAAUGGGAGGCCCACACAGAGAGGCACUGAGGUCGCCAAUCAAUAACCAACACCAAUACAGCGCAGGUGAGUGGGUACUUUUGGAAUUGGAUCCUCCAGCACUCAUGAAGCCUUCAAAUGACCGUAAGUUUAUGAGAAACCCUCAUUUAAACCUAAUACCCAAUGUUAUAGCAUUAAGAGGUAGAACCUUUUGGAAAGUGAUUAGGUUAUGAGUGCUUUGCCCUCAUGAAUGGGAUCAGUGCCCUUAUGAAAAACAUUGACCCACUCCCCAAAUUCUAGGUUC